rnacentral:rRNA from 1 species
GAGUUUGAUCAUGGCUCAGAACGAACGCUGGCGGCGUGGGUAAGACAUGCAAGUCGAACGGGAGAAUUGCUAGCUUGCUAAUAAUUCUCUAGUGGCGCACGGGUGAGUAACACGUGAGUAACCUGCCCCCGAGAGCGGGAUAGCCCUGGGAAACUGGGAUUAAUACCGCAUAGUAUCGAAAGAUUAAAGCAGCAAAUGCGCUUGGGGAUGGGCUCGCGGCCUAUUAGUUAGUUGGUGAGGUAACGGCUCACCAAGGCGAUGACGGGUAGCCGGUCUGAGAGGAUGUCCGGCCACACUGGAACUGAGACACGGUCCAGACACCUACGGGUGGCAGCAGUCGAGAAUCAUUCACAAUGGGGGAAACCCUGAUGGUGCGACGCCGCGUGGGGGAAUGAAGGUCUUCGGAUUGUAAACCCCUGUCAUGUGGGAGCAAAAUUAAAAAGAUAGUACCACAAAGAGGAAGAGACGGCUAAACUCUGUGCCAGCAGCCGCCGUAAG